GACGAACGCUGGCGGCGUGCUUAACACAUGCAAGUCGAACGGAAAGGCCUCUUGCUUGCAAGGGGUACUCGAGUGGCGAACGGGUGAGUAACACGUGGGUGAUCUGCCUUGCACUCUGGGAUAAGCUUGGGAAACUGGGUCUAAUACCGGAUAGGAACCGUCUUUAGUGUGGUGGUUGGAAAGUUUUUUCGGUGCAAGAUGAGCUCGCGGCCUAUCAGCUUGUUGGUGGGGUAAUGGCCUACCAAGGCGU
rnacentral:rRNA from 1 species